UACGAAGGAUCCAAGCGUUGUCCGGAUUUACUGGGUUUAAAGGGAGCGUAGGCGGAUCUUUAAGUCAGUGGUGAAAGCUCUCAGCUUAACUGGGAAACUGCCAUUGAAACUGAAGAUCUCGAGUAUGGUUGAGGUUACUGGAAUGUUGCAUGUAGCGGUGAAAUGCUUAGAUAUGCAACAGAACACCAAUUGCGAAGGCGGGUAACUAAGCCAUAACUGACGCUGAGGCUCGAAAGCGUGGGGAGCAAACAGG
rnacentral:rRNA from 1 species